rnacentral:rRNA from 1 species
UACAGAGGUCUCAAGCGUUGUUCGGAUUCAUUGGGCGUAAAGGGCGCGUAGGCGGCGGGGUAAGUCGGGUGUGAAAUCUCAGAGCUCAACUCUGAAACCGCACUCGAUACUGCUCUGCUUGAGGACUGGAGAGGAGACUGGAAUUCACGGUGUAGCAGUGAAAUGCGUAGAUAUCGUGAGGAAGACCAGUGGCGAAGGCGGGUCUCUGGACAGUUCCUGACGCUGAGGCGCGAAGGCCAGGGGAGCAAACGGG